rnacentral:rRNA from 1 species
AGUGAACGCUGGCGGUAGGCCUAACACAUGCAAGUCGAACGACAGCACAGUAAGCGCUUGCUCUUACGGGUGGCGAGUGGCGGACGGGUGAGGAAUACAUCGGCAUCUUCUUUUUCGUGGGGGAUAACGUAGGGAAACUUACGCUAAUACCGCAUACGACCUACGGGUGAAAGCAGGGGAUCUUCGGACCUUGCGCGUUUGAAUGAGCCGAUGUCGGAUUAGCUAGUUGGCGGGGUAAAGGCCCACCAAGGCGACGAUCCGUAGCUGAUCUGAGAGGAUGAUCGGCCACACUGGAACUGAGACACGGUCCAGACUCCUACGGGAGGCAGCAGUGGGGAAUAUUGGACAAUGGGCGCAAGCCUGAUGCAGCCAUACCGCGUGGGUGAAGAAGGCCUUCGGGUUGUAAAGCCCUGUUGUUGGGGAAGAAAAGCAGCAGGUGAAUACCCCGCUGUUCUGACGGUACCCAAAGAAUAAGCACCGGCUAACUUCGUG